UGGGGAAUUUUGGACAAUGGGCGCAAGCCUGAUCCAGCAAUGCCGCGUGCAGGAUGAAGGCCUUCGGGUUGUAAACUGCUUUUGUACGGAGCGAAAAGGUCUGCCCUAAUACGGUGGGCUCAUGACGGUACCGUAAGAAUAAGCACCGGCUAACUACGUGCCAGCAGCCGCGGUAAUACGUAGGGUGCGAGCGUUAAUCGGAAUUACUGUGCGUAAAGCGUGCGCAGGCGGUUAUAUAAGACAGAUGUGAAAGACCAGGGCUCAACCUGGGACCUACAUUUGUGACUGUAUAGCUAGAGUACGGUAGGGGGGGAUAGAAUUCAGCGUGUAGCAGUGAAAUGAAUAGAUAUGCAGAAGAACACCGAUGGCGAAGGCAAUCCCCCGGACCUGUACUGACGCUCAUGCACGAAAGAGUGGGGAGCAAACA
rnacentral:rRNA from 1 species